AAGAUGAAAGUCACUAAAUGUGAAAAGAAAUAAAGCAUACCAUACAAUACAAUAACCAUUAUUUUUAUAGGAUGUAAAGAUUACCAUAGAGUAACAACUUGAGAAUGGUGAAGUUGGAAGGCAGCAUCUUGGCCUUUAUGUAUGGCAGAAAGAAAAACUGGUCCAUGGUCUUGCAUAUGAAAGACAAGAUUUCAACCACUGAGGUACUGGCUCAUUCUAACUUCUGUUCCUUGGGACAGAUACUCCCAGAAGAUGUCCACCCAUUUACCCCUUUCAUCACUGACAAGCACACGACCUGAGAUCUCCUGUGGUGUUCACCUGUUCCAAAAUUUGAGCCUGAAUUGUCUUUAAGUGCAGAGGCCCCUUCAGUAUCCAAGCUAAUUUUAGUGUGACCUAGAUGAUGACAAUUUAGGGUAAAGGCAAGACAAGUAUGUUCACUUUGAAACCUAUAAAGGUCAGGAACCUCCUUUGUGUUAGUGAUUCACAAUGACAGAAGAUGCUUAUUUGUGAAGAGAAUACUACAUUUAUAUGACCUCAAAGUAGAAGCCAGAAGAAAAAGAACUCUGUAUGAAGAAGGCAUGCAGGAAAUAUGAAGAGCCGUGUCACUGGUAAACAUAGACACAUUUCAGGUAAGACUGAGCCAGGACAAAGUUAUGACCAAGGGGUUACAGAUCCUACAGUCAAAUUAAAUAUGCUAUUACUGAGCACAAUUUUUAUACAAUAUACCUAUCAUUUUAUAAAAUUAUUAUUUUGCUAUUUUAUUAUUCAGUUAACUCCAAAAUGGGACCAUCUAUUAUACUCAUUACAAUAUAACAUAAUACAAAACUAUAGUAAAUAGUAAGAAAUGUUACAUUUAAAAAUUUGCUCAAAAAUGUAUGUUCCUUGUAAGCAGAAUUGACUGAGAUAUAAAUUAUUGCACAAACCUACUUUCUUUCUUUAUGAUACUUCCAUUUCACUAUUUUUAGCAAUAUUGUGAGAA